GCUUACUUCAGCUGAACAUAAACUAAAAUAGGAACGAUACAGAGAAGAUGAACAUGGCCCCUGUGCAAGGAUGACAUGCAAAUUCGAGAAGCAUUCCAUAUUGUU
rnacentral:snRNA from 1 species